rnacentral:rRNA from 1 species
AUUGAACGCUGGCGGCAUGCUUUACACAUGCAAGUCGAACGGCAGCGGGGAGGAGCUUGCUUCUCUGCCGGCGAGUGGCGAACGGGUGAGUAAUACAUCGGAACGUGUCGAGAAGAGGGGGAUAACCACCCGAAAGGGUGGCUAAUACCGCAUAAAUUCUGAGGAAGAAAGCUGGGGACCUAGGAAUAGGCCUAGCGCUUUUUGAGCGGCCGAUGUCGGAUUAGCUAGUUGGUGAGGUAAAGGCUCACCAAGGCGAAGAUCUGUAGCGGGUCUGAGAGGAUGAUCCGCCACACUGGGACUGAGACACGGCCCAG